ACAUAUUUCAGGUUUGUGCGUGAAUCUAAUACUUAAACCGUAAGCCGCACAAAAUCUGGAUGGUGGAUUUUGUUUCAUUGUUAGAUUCACGCACAAACUCGUAAUAUGUCU
rfam:Corchorus olitorius cultivar O-4 contig18202, whole genome shotgun sequence.